UUUUUUUUCUUCAGCAACGUACUAAAGAUUAAACGAUGCAGAGAAGACCAGCAUGACCACUGCACAGGGACGGCACACAAAUUCGUGAAACGUCCCAUAUUUUU